rnacentral:sRNA from 1 species
UGCAUCUGAGGCCUGCGAGGAUGAGAACCUCCGGGGGCAGGAGGUUCGACUCGAGCGAAGCGAGAGAACGUUGCGUCAGCAACGGCCCGCAGGGCGAGCCACG